AAAGAUACAGUGGCGGAUCCCCUCCGCUUAGCUUUCUGCUGAGACUCGUGUUCCCUCCACCCAGUCAUGUCUUAACGGAAACAAUCCCUCUGCUUCUAGAGGAAAGGUCCCAAAUCCCAGUGGGAUUUACGGGGUACAUUUGGUUUAGUCCAGGCAGGUUCAGAUCACUUGCAAGACAACUAUGAAGAAGGGCUUGGGUAUGGGCGUUUCAAUAUGAUUUCAGUCAUUUGUUAUGUAAAAGUUAAUACCGAGAGAAAAUGAAAGUAGAGAAAGCUGAUGAACAA